rnacentral:rRNA from 1 species
GACAGAGGUCCCGAGCGUUAGGCGGAAUCACUGGGCUUAAAGCGUGUGUAGGCGGAUCGUUAAGUGCCUUGUGAAAUCCCAUGGCUUAACCAUGGAACUGCUUGGCAUACUGGCGAUCUUGAGCCACUUAGGGGCAACCGGAACAAAUGGUGGAGCGGUGAAAUGCGUAGAUAUUCGCAAGAACACCAGUGGCGAAGGCGGCUCACUGGCCCGAUACUGACGCUGAGGUGCGAAAGCGUGGGGAGCAAACAGG